UACGUAGAAGACUAGUGUUAUUCAUCUUUAGUAGGUUUAAAGGGUACCUAGACGGUAUUACUAGCCCAAGACAGGGUACGGUAUUGCUAGAGUUUUAUAUGAGAAGGGGAGUAUUCAUGGAGUAGAGAUAAAAAUUUUUUUUUUUGAUACCUUGACGACUGGUAGCGGCGAAAGCAACCUUUUAUCUAAUAACUGACGUUGAGGGACGAAGGCUUGGGUAGCAAACAGG
rnacentral:rRNA from 1 species